rnacentral:rRNA from 1 species
GACCUCGGAUCAGGUAGGAAUACCCGCUGAACUUAAGCAUAUCAAUAAGCGGAGGAAAAGAAACCAACAGGGAUUGCCCCAGUAACGGCGAGUGAAGCGGCAACAGCUCAAAUUUGAAAUCUGGCCCCCAGGGCCCGAGUUGUAAUUUGCAGAGGAUGCUUUUGGCGCGGUGCCUUCCGAGUUCCCUGGAACGGGACGCCAUAGAGGGUGAGAGCCCCGUCUGGUCGGACACCAAGCCAGUGUAAAGCUCCUUCGACGAGUCGAGUAGUUUGGGAAUGCUGCUCUAAAUGGGAGGUAUAUGUCUUCUAAAGCUAAAUACCGGCCAGAGACCGAUAGCGCACAAGUAGAGUGAUCGAAAGAUGAAAAGCACUUUGAAAAGAGGGUUAAACAGUACGUGAAAUUGUUGAAAGGGAAGCGUUUAUGACCAGACUUGGGCCCGGUGAAUCAUCCAGCGUUCUCGCUGGUGCACUUCGCCGGGCCCAGGCCAGCAUCAGUUCGCCGCGGGGGACAAAAGCUUCGGGAACGUGGCUCCCUCGGGAGUGUUAUAGCCCGUUGCAUAAUACCCUGUGGCGGACUGAGGUUCGCGCUCCGCAAGGAUGCUGGCGUAAUGGUCAUCAGCGACCCGUCUUGAAACACGGACCAAGGAGUCGUCUUCGUAUGCGAGUGUUCGGGUGUCAAACCCCUACGCGUAAUGAAAGUGAACGCAGGUGAGAGCUUCGGCGCAUCAUCGACCGAUCCUGAUGUUCUCGGAUGGAUUUGAGUAAGAGCAUACGGGGCCGGACCCGAAAGAAGGUGAACUAUGCCUGUAUAGGGUGAAGCCAGAGGAAACUCUGGUGGAGGCUCGCAGCGGUUCUGACGUGCAAAUCGAUCGUCAAAUAUGGGCAUGGGGGCGAAAGACUAAUCGA